rnacentral:lncRNA from 1 species
GGCUUUCAAAUUUGAGCACUAGUCACUAUCCUCUGGGGAGCUUGUUAAAAAACAGAUUGCUUGCUUUAGCCCAAGGAGUUCGAGACCAGCCUGGGCAACAUAGGGAGACUCUGUGUCUACAAAUAAUAAGCUCCCUCCAAGAUCUAGAGGCUCCGCGGCCACCCCUGCCGGGUCCUGCCAAGACUUGCUAGAAGGAACGAGUCGCGUGCCUUAGUUAGUUGGUUCCCGUCACAGGAAGAAACGCCUUUGCAGUGGGUUUAAUUGCU